rnacentral:rRNA from 1 species
GACAGAGGGGGCAAGCGUUGCUCAGAAUUACUGGGCGUAAAGGGCGCGUAGGCGGAAUGGCAAGUCGGUCGUGAAAUCCUUCGGCUCAACCGAAGAACGUCGAUCGAAACUGCCGUUCUUGAGGAUUGCAGAGGAGACUGGAAUUCCCGGUGUAGCGGUGAAAUGUGUAGAGAUCGGGAGGAACACCGGUGGCGAAGGCGGUUCUCUGGGCCUUACCUGACGCUGAGGAGCGAAAGCGUGGGGAGCGAACAGG